GGCCGAGUGGCGAAAUUGGCAGACGCACAGGAUUUAAAAUCCUGUGGUGGGAAACCACCGUGCGGGUUCGAGCCCCGCCUCGGCUAC
rnacentral:tRNA from 1 species